rnacentral:rRNA from 1 species
UACAGAGACCUCAAGCGUUAUCCGGAAUCAUUGGGCGUAAAGCGUGCCGAUAGGUGGUUUUGAAAGUCUUGGGUAAAAGCCAGAAGCUUAACUUCUGCGUUUGCUUAAGAUACUGCAAAACUAGAGGGGCAAAGAGGUGCUUGGAACGAAUGGUGUAGUAGUGAAAUGCGUUGAUAUCAUUCGGAACACCGAAAGCGAAGGCAGAGCACUGGGUGCCACCUGACACUGCUAGGACGAAAGCGUGGGAGCGAAUGGG